UACGUAGGGGGCAAGCGUUGUCCGGAUUUACUGGGCGUAAAGGGCGCGUAGGCGGCCAGCACAAGUCAGUUGUGAAAUCUCCGAGCUUAACUCGGAACGGUCAACUGAUACUGUGCGGCUAGAGUGCGGAAGGGGCAACUGGAAUUCUUGGUGUAGCGGUGAAAUGCGUAGAUAUCAAGAGGAACACCUGCGGCGAAGGCGGGUUGCUGGGCCGACACUGACGCUGAGGCGCGAAAGCCAGGGGAGCGAACGGG
rnacentral:rRNA from 1 species